ensembl:snRNA U4 U4 spliceosomal RNA
AGCUUUGUACAGUGGCAGUAUCAUAGCCAAUGAGGCAUGAUUAUUGCUAAUUGAAAACUUUAUUUCUUGUGAAAAUACAAUAUAGCUAUAUCACUGACACGGAUGCCCAAGCUACUGUUUUAAAAUAAGUUUAUCAAAUGCUAGUGUAGC